AGCAGCCGCGGUAAUUCCAGCUCCAAUAGCGUAUAUUAAAGUUGUUGCAGUUAAAAAGCUCGUAGUUGAAUUUCGAGACCGGUUUACUGGUCGUGCUUUUGUACGUACUGGUAUUAUUGGUUUCUCCUUUCUGACGAAUCAUAAUGCCAUUAGUUUGGUGUUUUGGGGAAUCAGGACUGUUACUUUGAAAAAUUAGAGUGUUUAAAGCAGGCUCACGCUUGAAUACAUUAGCAUGGAAUAACGAAAUAGGACGUUUGAUUUUAUUUUGUUGGUUUCUAGGAUCGACGUAAUGAUUAAUAGGGAUAGUUGGGGGCAUUAGUAUUCAAUUGUCAGAGGUGAAAUUCUUGGAUUUAUUGAAGACUAACUACUGCGAAAGCAUUUGCCAAGGAUGUUUUCAUUAAUCAAGAACGAAAGUUAGGGGAUCGAAGACGAUCAGAUACCGUCGUAGUCUUAACCAUAAACUAUGCCGACUAGGGAUCGGAUGAUGUUAAUUUUUAAUGACUCAUUCGGCGCCUUACGG
rnacentral:rRNA from 1 species